UACGUAGGUGGCAAGCGUUAUCCGGAAUUAUUGGGCGUAAAGCGCGCGCAGGUGGUUUCUUAAGUCUGAUGUGAAAGCCCACGGCUCAACCGUGGAGGGUCAUUGGAAACUGGGGGACUUGAGUGCAGAAGAGGAAAGUGGAAUUCCACGUGUAGCGGUGAAAUGCGUAGAGAUGUGGAGGAACACCAGUGGCGAAGGCGACUUUCUGGUCUGUAACUGACGCUGAGGCGCGAAAGCGUGGGGAGCAAACAGG
rnacentral:rRNA from 1 species